UCCCUCUCAGGGUCACACCUGGAGAGUUUCCAGUACUCUACCAGUCUCGACCUCGGGAGAGAGAGUCAAGCAGAAGCAUACCCAUUCCAUUUCUAGCUUGGGGAAUGGCUAGGAAGUGGAAGGCAAUCUGCUACAAGU